rnacentral:rRNA from 1 species
UACGUAGGGUGCAGGCGUUAAUCGGAAUUACUGGGCGUAAAGCGUGCGCAGGCGGUUUCUUAAGUCAGAUGUGAAAGCCCCGGGCUUAACCUGGGAACUGCGUUUGAAACUGGGAGACUUGAGUGUGGCAGAGGGGGGUGGAAUUCCACGUGUAGCAGUGAAAUGCGUAGAUAUGUGGAGGAACACCGAUGGCGAAGGCAGCCCCCUGGGUUAACACUGACGCUAAUGCACGAAAGCGUGGGGAGCAAACAGG